rnacentral:rRNA from 1 species
UACGGAGGAUCCAAGCGUUAUCCGGAUUUAUUGGGUUUAAAGCGUGCGCAGGCGGCUUCUCAAGUCAGGGGUGAAAGCCCAGAGCUCAACUCUGGAAUUGCCUUUGAGACUGAGUGGCUUGAGUACGAGAGAGGUGAGUGGAAUUCCCAGUGUAGAGGUGAAAUUCGUAGAUAUUGGGAAGAACACCGGUGGCGAAGGCGGCUCACUGGCUCGUAACUGACGCUCAUGCACGACAGCGUGGGGAUCAAACAGG